CCUACGUGUGGCAGCAGUGAGGAAUAUUGGUCAAUGGACGCAAGUCUGAACCAGCCAUGCCGCGUGCAGGAAGACGGCUCUCUGAGUUGUAAACUGCUUUUGUACGAGGGUAAACGCAGAUACGUGUAUCUGUCUCAAAGUAUCGUACGAAUAAGGAUCGGCUAACCCCGUGCCAGCAGCCGCGGUACUACGGAGGAUUCAAGCGUUAUCCGGUUUUAUUGGGUUUAAAGGGUGCGUAGGCGGUCGGAUAAGUUAGAGGGGAAAUCACGAGGCGCAACUUCGGAAUUGCCGCUGAUACUGUUCGGCUAGAGAGUAGUUGCGGUAGGCGGAAUGUAUGGUGUAGCGGUGAAAUGCUUAGAGAUCAUACAGAACACCGAUUGCGAAGGCAGCUUACCAAGCUACUUCUGACGUUGAGGCACGAAAGCGUGGGGAGCAAACAGGAUUAGAUACCCUAGUAGUC
rnacentral:rRNA from 1 species